rnacentral:rRNA from 1 species
AGAGUUUGAUCAUGGCUCAGAUUGAACGCUGGCGGCAGGCCUAACACAUGCAAGUCGAGCGGUAGCACAGAGAGCUUGCUCUCGGGUGACGAGCGGCGGACGGGUGAGUAAUGUCUGGGAAACUGCCUGAUGGAGGGGGAUAACUACUGGAAACGGUAGCUAAUACCGCAUAAUGUCGCAAGACCAAAGUGGGGGACCUUCGGGCCUCAUGCCAUCAGAUGUGCCCAGAUGGGAUUAGCUAGUAGGUGGGGUAACGGCUCACCUAGGCGACGAUCGCUAGCUGGUCUGAGAGGAUGACCAGCCACACUGGAACUGAGACACGGUCCAGACUCCUACGGGAGGCAGCAGUGGGGAAUAUUGCACAAUGGGCGCAAGCCUGAUGCAGCCAUGCCGCGUGUGUGAAGAAGGCCUUCGGGUUGUAAAGCACUUUCAGCGGGGAGGAAGGCGAUAAGGUUAAUAACCUUGUCGAUUGACGUUACCCGCAGAAGAAGCACCGGCUAACUCCGUGCCAGCAGCCGCGGUAAUACGGAGGGUGCAAGCGUUAAUCGGAAUUACUGGGCGUAAAGCGCACGCAGGCGGUCUGUCAAGUCGGAUGUGAAAUCCCCGGGCUCAACCUGGGAACUGCAUUCGAAACUGGCAGGCUAGAGUCUUGUAGAGGGGGGUAGAAUUCCAGGUGUAGCGGUGAAAUGCGUAGAGAUCUGGAGGAAUACCGGUGGCGAAGGCGGCCCCCUGGACAAAGACUGACGCUCAGGUGCGAAAGCGUGGGGAGCAAACAGGAUUAGAUACCCUGGUAGUCCACGCCGUAAACGAUGUCGAUUUGGAGGUUGUGCCCUUGAGGCGUGGCUUCCGGAGCUAACGCGUUAAAUCGACCGCCUGGGGAGUACGGCCGCAAGGUUAAAACUCAAAUGAAUUGACGGGGGCCCGCACAAGCGGUGGAGCAUGUGGUUUAAUUCGAUGCAACGCGAAGAACCUUACCUGGUCUUGACAUCCACAGAACUUUCCAGAGAUGGAUUGGUGCCUUCGGGAACUGUGAGACAGGUGCUGCAUGGCUGUCGUCAGCUCGUGUUGUGAAAUGUUGGGUUAAGUCCCGCAACGAGCGCAACCCUUAUCCUUUGUUGCCAGCGGUNCGGCCGGGAACUCAAAGGAGACUGCCAGUGAUAAACUGGAGGAAGGUGGGGAUGACGUCAAGUCAUCAUGGCCCUUACGACCAGGGCUACACACGUGCUACAAUGGCAUAUACAAAGAGAAGCGACCUCGCGAGAGCAAGCGGACCUCAUAAAGUAUGUCGUAGUCCGGAUUGGAGUCUGCAACUCGACUCCAUGAAGUCGGAAUCGCUAGUAAUCGUAGAUCAGAAUGCUACGGUGAAUACGUUCCCGGGCCUUGUACACACCGCCCGUCACACCAUGGGAGUGGGUUGCAAAAGAAGUAGGUAGCUUAACCUUCGGGAGGGCGCUUACCACUUUGUGAUUCAUGACUGGGGUGAAGUCGUAACAAGGUAACCGUAGGGGAACCUGCGGUUGGAUCACCU